GCUUCUGUAGCUCAGUUGGUAGAGCAGCUGAUUUGUAAUCAGCAGGUCUGCGGUUCGAGUCCGCACAGAAGCUCCA
rnacentral:tRNA from 1 species